CCCUUAGACGUUCUGGGCCGCACGCGCGCUACACUGACCAGUGCAACAAGCAUCCGUCCUUGGCCGACAGGCCCGGGCAAUCUUUGAACGCUGGUCGUGAUGGGGAUAGACUUUUGCAAUUUUUGGUCUUCAACGAGGAAUUCCUAGUAAACGCAAGUCAUCAACUUGCAUUGAUUACGUCCCUGCCCUUUGUACACACCGCCCGUCGCACCUACCGAUUGAAUGGUCCGGUGAAAUUCUCGGACACGGACUAGCGAUGUUAAUUCGGAGCUUGACUGUGAAAGUUAAUUAAACCUUACCAUUUAGAGGAAGGAGAAGUCGUAACA
rnacentral:rRNA from 1 species